rnacentral:sRNA from 1 species
GGCAGAAGAAAAUCAACGAGUGGCUGGGGAUUAAAAAUGAGACUGAGGAGUGAGUGACCGCCUGGAGGGAGGCAGGGAGGGCUUCCCAGAGGAGGGGGCCAUUUGGGGUGGGUUUUGAAGAAUGAGCAGGAGUUCACCAGGCAGGAAGAGUUGUCCAGGCAGCUGGGGAGCCUCGGAGGGCUGGCAGGUGAGUGACCAGGGCCCUCCCCGCCAUCCCCCGCCGCCCCCCACCACCCCAGCCAGUACGCACUGAUGGAGGACGAGGACGAUCUCCCGCACCACGAGGAACGCACUUGGUACGUGGGCAAGAUCAACCGCACGCAGGCAGAGGAGAUGCUGAGCGGCAAGCGGGAUGGCACCUUCCUCAUCCGCGAGAGCAGCCAGCGGGGCUGCUACGCCUGCUCCGUGGUAGUGGACGGCGACACCAAGCACUGCGUCAUCUACCGCACGGCCACCGGCUUCGGCUUCGCGGAGCC